rnacentral:rRNA from 1 species
CCAAUAGCGUAUAUUAAAGUUGUUGCAGUUAAAAAGCUCGUAGUUGAAUUUCGGAGUUUGUCGGUUGGUCGGGCUUCACUGUCCGCACUGGCCUGAUGGAUUCCUACCUUCUGAAUAACCAGCAUGCUAUUAAGUUAGUGCGUUGGGGAAGCAGAGCUAUUACCUUGAAAAAAUUAGAGUGCUUAAAGCAGGCUUUAUGCUUGAAUAGAUUAGCAUGGAAUAAUAAAAUAGGACGGCAUGGUUCUAUUUUGUUGGUUUCUAGGAUCACCGUAAUGAUUAAUAGGGAUAGUUGGGGGCAUUAGUAUUCAAUUGUCAGAGGUGAAAUUCUUGGAUUUAUUGAAGACUAACUUCUGCGAAAGCAUUUGCCAAGGAUGUUUUCAUUAAUCAAGAACGAAAGUUAGGGGAUCGAAGACGAUCAGAUACCGUCGUAGUCUUAACCAUAAACUAUGCCGACUAGGGAUCGGACGAUGUUAAUUUUUUAAUGACUCGUUCGGCGCCUUACG